UACGGGGGGGGCAAGCGUUGUUCGGAAUUACUGGGCGUAAAGGGCUCGUAGGCGGCCAACUAAGUCGGACGUGAAAUCCCUCGGCUUAACCGGGGAACUGCGUCCGAUACUGGAUGGCUUGAGUUCGGGAGAGGGAUGCGGAAUUCCAGGUGUAGCGGUGAAAUGCGUAGAUAUCUGGAGGAACACCGGUGGCGAAGGCGGCAUCCUGGACCGACACUGACGCUGAGGAGCGAAAGCCGGGGAGCAAACGGG
rnacentral:rRNA from 1 species